rnacentral:rRNA from 1 species
AGAGUUUGAUCCUGGCUCAGAAUCAACGCUGGCGGCGCGCUUAACACAUGCAAGUCGAACGAGAAAGGGCCCUUCGGGGCCUGAGUAAAGUGGCGGACGGGUGAGUAACACGUGGGUUACCUGCCCUCGAGUGGGGAAUAACUCCGGGAAACUGGAGCUAAUACCGCAUACGACCCUUCGGGGUGAAAGGCUUCGGUCGCUCGAGGAUGGGCCCGCGGUCGAUUAGCUAGUUGGUAGGGUAAAGGCCUACCAAGGCGACGAUCGAUAGCCGGCCUGAGAGGGCACACGGCCACACUGGCACUGAGACACGGGCCAGACUCCUACGGGAGGCAGCAGUGGGGAAUCUUGGACAAUGGGGGAAACCCUGAUCCAGCGACGCCGCGUGACCGAUGAAGGCCUUCGGGUCGUAAAGGUCUUUCGACGGGGAAAAUCAUGAUGGUACCCGUAUAAGAAGGAGCGGCUAACUACGUGCCAGCAGCCGCGGUAAUACGUAGGCUCCAAGCGUUGUUCGGAAUUACUGGGCGUAAAGCGAGUGUAGGCGGUCCGUCAAGUCGGCUGUGAAAUCUCCUGGCUCAACUGGGAGGGUGCGGCCGAAACUGACGGACUAGAGUCUGGGAGAGGAGAGUGGAAUUCCUGGUGUAGCGGUGAAAUGCGUAGAUAUCAGGAGGAACACCGGUGGUGAAGACGGCUCUCUGGACCG